rnacentral:rRNA from 1 species
UACGUAGGGGGCGAGCGUUGUCCGGAUUUACUGGGCGUAAAGCGCGCGUAGGCGGAAGUGUAAGUGUGGCCUGAAAGCCCCCGGCUCAACCGGGGAGGGCGGCUGCAAACUGCGCUUCUUGAGGGCGAUAGAGGAGUGUGGAAUUCCUGGUGUAGCGGUGAAAUGCGUAGAUAUCCGGAGGAACACCGGUGGCGAAGGCGGCUUCCUGGACCGACACUGACGCUGAGGCGCGAAAGCUAGGGGAGCAAACGGG